rnacentral:misc_RNA from 1 species
UCCCGCAGAGCUCAAUUUCCUCUACGGCGCGCCUCUCUCCAAAUUCCCCUCCCAAUUUCUCAAGCGCUGCUUCUAGGGUUUCGGUGUAUGAGAUGCGAGCAUGGCUUUCGAGAUCUGCAAGGGCGUCAAUGAACUCGAGAAGGUCGUGCUUAAGGAGGUCCGCGGAAGCUCCGCCGAGGUGUAUUUGUAUGGGUGUCAUGUCACAUCUUGGAAAAAUG